GCUGUCUUCACAGGGAGUAGCGCCAAAAGUAUUUUCUCACUGCUUCAAAGGAGAUGACACUGGUGGGGGGAUACUGGUUCUUGGUGAGAUCGUGGAUCCUAACAUCGUUUAUAGCCCGCUUGUCCAAAAUCAGCCUCAUUAUAACUUAAAUCUGGAGAGCAUUAGUGUUAACGGCCAAACGCUAGCCAUUGAUCCAUCAGUUUUUUCAACAUCAAGCAACCAAGGAACAAUAGUUGAUUCUGGGACAACUUUGGCAUACCUUGCAGAAGAUGCAUAUGAUCCUUUUGUCAAUGCUAUAACAAGCGCUGUCUCACAAUCCGUGACCCCUGUUACCUCCCAGGGAGAACAAUGCUACAUAGUCACAUCCAGGUUCACAUUUUGAAUAUUUUAUCUCA